AGGCGGGUGGCGCGCGGCAGCGGGGCUGGGCUCCGGCCCGGAGUCAGCGGAGGGAGCGCGCGCGCGCGCUCCCCGACAGUCCGCCGCAGCCACUCGCCCGGAGCCUUUUACUUGGCCGCGUUGCCCACAGCUACCUCGACCUCGCGUGCCGGGUUUGCGAGCUUUCAGGCUUCUGGAGUCCACUUUGUCUCUAGAGUGGCUAGAAACCCCCGAAUCACAUUUCUAGAGUCAGCCCUAACCAGCCACUGCCAGGAAGGAUACCCAGGUCGUAUUGGAGGACGGAACGACCAGGAACUUGGCAUGGUAUGCCAGCCCGCUGUGAGUGUAUGCUUUCUGAGCAUGGAUAGCCCCAGUGACCCCUCUCACCUGCUGUAUCUCCUUUGGUGGGGUGGGCAGAAGCCCUCGUCUGGCCAUCUGUGGCAGUGUCUCUGCCGAGGCUGAUGCUCCACAGACCCCUGGAAUCUCCACAUUCACUGACGUCUUAGGUGUGUGUGGCCUGUACAGCUUGCCUUCGUCUGGCCCCAGCUGUUCUCUUUCUCCUCUCAUGGGAUACUCCCCACCCUCAAGAGCCAGCCUUGCUAGCUGUGUUUUCCUCAGGUCUUAGCUGAGCAUAAUCAUCCCCCAACACACUGAGUGGGACAGACAAGAGGCCCUCUUGUUACACCAGAGGAAGCUGACCACAUCAAAUCACAGACAAGGACCACUUUCCCAUGGGUGAUACUACCCACAGUGGGAUGGACCCUCCAAUUCUCAGUCAAGAAAGUGCCCGGCAGCACAGUAUCCAACAGACAGCAAAGCCAGGGCUGCCUCCAGACCUGCUGUCCCUUUCACCAUCCUUCCUAGGACCAGAGGGGAUGCCGCCUGCUCAGGAUGGACUCUAUUGAAAUGUAAAAUACACACUUUGCAUAUCAAAAGCAUCAUUGUGUUUAGCUAUGCAUCUCCAGUUUCUUCUUGCAAAACAUUGAAACCUAGCUCAUAAUUUGAUGAUAAAAUAUUGAUUAUUUAUUGACAGCCACAUGCAGAGGUCCAUGGCACAUGAACGGGAGGCCCACCCUGCAUUAUCUGUAUUUUAAGUCAAUAUGAAGAUGGAUAUUCUACCCCUGAGAUGAAUUUUGUUAAAGUGCUUUUGUCAAUAAAAAGACACUCCUGUUAGAGUGUGCCAACUCCUGCUAUUGGCCUGGGGUCUGCUUCUCCACACACCAGGCGGCUCCAAGAGAGGCUUCCAACCUCCAGCAGCUCCUGGUCAGUCUGCAUAUUUCUUUAAGCCAUGUGAGUGAAAAAUAUCAAGGAAUGGUGAGUUGGCAUUCCAGGUGAGAGAGAAUGAAAAGAAAAGCGAACACAACUUAUAAACAAAUCUGGGAGAGCUUCAUCACCAUCCAUAGCAACUGCGUGUCUUCUGCUUCCAAGAUAGAAGAGCGGAAGUGUGGACCAUCUCUGAGCGUCUGCCCUGACUGCCUACCCAGCAGAGUCUCUAGGAAGAGUAUACCAAGAAAGGACAGCAGCCUGGACGCAGCUGGCAGGGAGCAACAAGCCCGGGAGUUUUCAGGGAUACCUGGACUGUCUCUCAUUCGUGUCCUCCAUGACUGCUCUCAGACAAGCUCCUCCACCACUCAAUAUGGCUGACAACUGCUCCUGGCAUAUGUUUUUAUCAGUGAUCCUAAGAGAUUUUUUUCCCCUCCAUAAAAAUUCCAUGGUAUAUCCUGUUGGUACUAAGUGUCCUAAUUAGGUCCCAUAUUCCAUGUGAUCAAAAAGAUGGUGCCCUUGUCCAGACCUAGGCCAUGGCAGCCCUGGAUAUGGGAGAGGCCUGUUCUGUAUAAUGCAGACAAGCUAAAACAGAUACAGGCAGCUCCCCUGGAAGCC
ensembl:lncRNA